rnacentral:rRNA from 1 species
CGGACGGGUGAGUAACACGUAAGAAUUUGCCUUUAGGAGGGGGACAACAACUGGAAACGGUUGCUAAUACCCCCAUAUGCUUUCGAGUGAAACGGUUUUUCCGCCUAGAGAGAAGCUUGCGGCUGAUUAGCUUGUUGGUAAAGGUAAUGGCUUACCCAAGGCGACGAUCAGUAUCUGGUUUGAGAAGGACGAUCAGACACACUGGGAACUGAGACACGGUCCCAGACUCCUACGGGGAGGCAGCAGUGGGGGAAUUUUUCCGCAAAUGGGCGAAAGCCUGACGGGAGCAAAUACCGCGUGAGGGGAUGAAUGCCUAUGGGUUGUAAACCUCUUUUUUCAGGGAGGAAAUAAAAAUGACGUGUACCUGAAGAAUAAGCAUCGGCUAACUCCGUGCCAGCAGCCGCGGUAAGACGGAGGAUGCAAGUGUUAUCCGGAAUCACUGGGCGUAAAGCGUCUGUAGGUGGUUUAAUAAGUCAACCGUUAAAUCUUGAGGCUCAACCUCGAAACCGCAGUCGAAACUAUUAGACUUGAGUAUAGUAGGGGUAAAGGGAAUUUCCAGUGGAGCGGUGAAAUGCGUAGAGAUUGGAAAGAACACCGAUGGCGAAGGCACUUUACUGGGCUAUUACUAACACUGAGAGACGAAAGCUAGGGUAGCGGAUGGGAUUAGAUACCCCGG